GAUGAACGCUGGCGGCGUGCCUAAUACAUGCAAGUCGAGCGAACAGACGAGGAGCUUGCUCCUCUGACGUUAGCGGCGGACGGGUGAGUAACACGUGGAUAACCUACCUAUAAGACUGGGAUAACUUCGGGAAACCGGAGCUAAUACCGGAUAACAUGUUGAACCGCAUGGUUCAACAGUGAAAGACGGACUUGCUGUCACUUAUAGAUGGAUCCGCGCCGCAUUAGCUAGUUGGUAAGGUAACGGCUUACCAAGGCAACGAUGCGUAGCCGACCUGAGAGGGUGAUCGGCCACACUGGAACUGAGACACGGUCCAGACUCCUACGGGAGGCAGCAGUAGGGAAUCUUCCGCAAUGGGCGAAAGCCUGACGGAGCAACGCCGCGUGAGUGAAGAAGGUCUUCGGAUCGUAAAACUCUGUUAUUAGGGAAGAACAAAUGUGUAAGUAACUAUGCACGUCUUGACGGUACCUAAACAGAAAGCCACGGCUAACUACGUG
rnacentral:rRNA from 1 species